ensembl:lncRNA SDAD1P1 SDA1 domain containing 1 pseudogene 1
GACAACACAACAAGCGACCGGACGGGGCAGGGGCGCUCCCCUGCGGGCCCCGGACGUGGAGACGCUCGAGUCAGGCUGACGCGCGCGCCGGGAACGAACUCUUGCGUGUGACUUGGGAUGACCGGAUGGGAUGAGUGAUGCCAGUGGCAGUGGGAGAGAGGAUGAGGAGAAACGGAAUGAGGAAGUGCGCUCCUGUGUUCGCGCCCGUGCCUCCUCUCACACAGGCUCCACAGUGCUUCACCCAGCCCUGCGCACGCAUCUGUUUUCUACCUCUUAGGACUCACUUCUGCAAUAGGUGUCUUGGGGACACAAAGGAAUCCCCAAACCCAGGUGCCUCCACGUGUAAACUCCAAAUAAAGCUGCUGAAACAUCAACACUCCAUACGGGAAACAAGGGAAGGCCGCCCCCAAAUUUAAUUGUUACAGAAUUUUUAAAAUGUCGAUUACAAACACACCAUCAUUCUGAAAAAAAGAGAAAGAAGAAAGGGGAAGAAAGAAAAAAGAAAAAUUCAGGAAAACAGAGAGAAGAAAGUACUCACCCAAAUCCCAUCGACUAAUCGAUUUCUGGGACAUGACGUGGGAAGCCGUUUAUCCUGUACGUGGAUGACAUUAAACUAUGUUCCUGAGCACA